rnacentral:rRNA from 1 species
UACAGAGGCCUCAAGCGUUAGGCGGAAUCACUGGGCUUAAAGCGUGUGUAGGCGGAUGCCUAAGUACCUUGUGAAAUCCCACGGCUCAACCGUGGAACUGCUGGGUAUACUGGGCGUCUUGGGCCAUUCAGGGGCGACUGGAACAAGCGGUGGAGCGGUGAAAUGCGUAGAUAUCGCUUGGAACGCCGAAGGUGAAAACAGGUCGCUGGGGAUGUGCCGACGCUGAGACACGAAAGCCAGGGGAGCAAACGGG